rnacentral:antisense_RNA from 1 species
CUUCAUCGAGCCGAGCCACAGCGGCCGGCCCGCCGAGCGCUCCUGCCCGUACGUGUCCACCAGGGCCUGCGCCUC